rnacentral:rRNA from 1 species
GACGGAGGGGGCUAGCGUUGUUCGGAAUUACUGGGCGUAAAGCGCGCGUAGGCGGCCUUUCAAGUCAGGUGUGAAAGCCCCGAGCUUAACUCGGGAACCGCACUUGAUACUGUUGGGCUUGAGACCGGGAGAGGAUAGCGGAAUUCCCAGUGUAGAGGUGAAAUUCGUAGAUAUUGGGAAGAACACCAGUGGCGAAGGCGGCUAUCUGGACCGGUACUGACGCGGAGGUGCGAAAGCGUGGGGAGCAAACAGG